CUGACCGUAAACGAUGCCAACUAGCGAUCCGCCGGUGGUUUUUUUGCCCUGGUGGGGAGCUUCCCGGAAACGAAAGUCUUCCGGUUCCGGGGGAAGUAUGGUUGCAAAGCUGAAACUUAAAGGAAUUGACGGAAGGGCACCACCAGGAGUGGAGCCUGCGGCUUAAUUUGACUCAACACGGGGAAACUCACCCGGCCCGGACACCGUAAGGAUUGACAGAUUGAUAGCUUUUUCAUGAUUCGGUGGAUGGUGGUGCAUGGCCGUUCUUAGUUCGUGGAGCGAUUUGUCUGGUUUAUUCCGAUAACGAGCGAGACUCUAGCCUACUAACUAGUCCACACAUUGUCACUGUGUGCGCGACUUCUUAGAGGGAUUUUCGGUGUACAGCCGCACGAAAUUGAGCAAUAACAGGUCUGUGAUGCCCUUAGAUGUCCGGGGCUGCACGCGCGCUACACUGGCAAAAUCAGCGUGCUUGUCCUUCCCCGAAAGGGGCGGGUAAACCCUUGAAAAUUUGCCGUGAUUGGGAUCGGAAAUUGCAAUUAUUUUCCGUGAACGAGGAAUUCCAAGUAAGUGCGAGUCAUCAACUCGCGUUG
rnacentral:rRNA from 1 species